CUUCCCUACCCAGCCCUCCAUACAGUUUCGUGCCCCAAUGUGGCCCUCAGGCCAAAAAUAGUUUGCCCACCCCGGUCUACACUCAUACUGUGCCAACCUAAGUAUGUCAACCUAAGCGCUACACCUCUUGUGGAGGUGAAGUUAUUAAAUUGGUGUAGUAGGCCUGUUACAUCGGUGGGAGCUACAUUUUAGUGUAGAUGCUUAGAGUUAGGUCAAUGUAAGCUGCCUUAACUCAACCGAACUCUGUAGUAUAAACCAGGGCUUGGCUGUGGCUAUUUGAUUGCUGCCUCUAGGAGAGAGAACGCCACAGAUAAGGGGUUCCCCCCCCCCCAUCCUAGCACUGAAACUGCAAGAGCCCUGUUCGCAUUAAGCAUCUGCAGAAGGUCUUAUGGAUGGGGGUGGGGAAUAUUUUAGUGGAAGCAGCACUCCUUUAUGUUCUCUGCCCCUUCCAGGUGUUCCACCUCCUCUAAGUCCUCUCCCUGCCCCUGCUCCCAGCCCCCUUGUAAAAAAAAGCCUCAAAAUCUGUCCAAUAUAUUUUCCUUAAUGAGCUAGGACAAUAAAAACGGCUACUGUACAUCACACAGCUUCAAAGCCCUUAGAGCAAAGGAAUAAUCAGAGGUACCACAUACCAGACAGAUGCCAGAACAUCUGGGAGACAGAACAAUAAGUGUGUGAACAAUUAGCUCUAAUCACAAGUUUAUACAUUUAAUUCCACACUGACUGUAUUCUGGUAAAGCCUAACUCAGUACGAAUGUAGAGGUUAAAUUUUAAUCAGCCUACAAAGAAACUGAUUCCAGAAAACUAAGCUAUCAUAUAUCUGAUGUAAAUUAAAUAUCAUCUCUGGACUCCCUGGGUUUUAACCACAGGAGCAUCCUUGCAUCCUAUACUUUAUAGUUGUCUUUGGUGCUGUAAUCUUAAAAUGAGCCCCCUCUAGUCACCGGCAAUAGGCUACCUGCAUUUUCUCCCACCCACUCCAAAGCAGCAACUUAGCGUAUUAAACUAUAUCCAUGAGUUUCCUUAUUCUAGAUGUUAUUUUUCCUUUAUUUAAGCCCAAAACUCCAUCUCCAUUAACUGCUGUCUGUUCUCCUGGGCAGGAGCAUAGGCAGACAGACUGAUUUGAAGUGGAAACCAUUGGAACUUCAUAACAAGCUGCCAGUGGGCAGCUACAGGAGCAAGAAGCCAGAUUCAUCCCCAUGGCGAGUACACAAAUUACCUCUGUAUGACAGCUCAGGAAGCAGGAGUUCAGAGGAAGCUAAGAAAUCAGGAGUUCAGAUUGUCUUUAAGUCAAAUAAUGCAAGUCCUUAAAGCACAGAACACUACAAACUGAGACCACGUAUUCAUCACCCAGCUCAAGCUAUAUCGACGUUUCACAACCCCUCCAGCCAUUAAACCACUUCAUUACCAGAGGCUGAAAGAACAGUCAGAGAGAAACUUUGUGUCACUGAAUCUUGACAUCUGAAUCUCACUAUUACCUUGUACGAGACAAGGUAUAUACCUGUUGGACAAUCAGAAGGGCUACUUCAUUCCUAUGGACCCCAAAUCAGAAUUCAACAUAUAUAUUUUAUACUAAUAUACAUUUAUACAUUGUUUGAAGUACUAAUUGUAUGUUACUUGUUAACCUAAAACCAUGGGCGGAGACAUUAUGCAAUCUUUGACCAUUGGCUACUAUGCUUAUCUUGUCUUGCUGCUAGACCUAUCCAGGGGUUUGGGACUACCUACCCCGUCACUUUCCUCUGCCCAUGGAAAAUCCAUAUAAGUUACUGUAAUCAACUGAUUGACAGUGUCUCUGAGCCUAAUAAGCAAGGUGACACUCCACCAGCGCUGUGCGUAAUAAACCCACCUGCUUGAUUCUA